rnacentral:rRNA from 1 species
AGUCAGAUGNGAAAGCCNGGGNUCANCCUCGGACUGCAUUUGAAACUGGUGACUAGAGUACUGUAGAGGGGGGUAGAUUUCAGGUGUAGCGGUGAAAUGCGUAGAGAUCUGANGAAUACCAGUGGCGAAGCGCCCCUGGACAGAUACUGACACUCAGAUGCGAAAGCGUGGGGAGCAAACAGGAUAGAUACCUGGUAGUCACGCCGUAAACGAUGUCUACUUGGAGGUUGUGGCCUUGAGCCGUGGCUUUCGGAGCUAACGCGUUAAGUAGACCGCUGGGGAGUACGGUCGCAAGAUUAAAACUCAAAUGAAUUGACGGGGGCCCGCACAAGCGGUGGAGCAUGUGGUUUAAUUCGAUGCAACGCGAAGAACCUUACCUACUCUUGACAUCCAGAGAAGCCAGCGGAGACGCAGGUGUGCCUUCGGGAACUCUGAGACAGGUGCUGCAUGGCUGUCGUCAGCUCGUGUUGUGAAAUGUUGGGUUAAGUCCCGCAACGAGCGCAACCCUUAUCCUUGUUUGCCAGCGAGUCAUGUCGGGAACUCCAGGGAGACUGCCGGUGAUAAACCGGAGGAAGGUGGGGACGACGUCAAGUCAUCAUGGCCCUUACGAGUAGGGCUACACACGUGCUACAAUGGCGCAUACAGAGGGCAGCAAGCUAGCGAUAGUGAGCGAAUCCCAAAAAGUGCGUCGUAGUCCGGAUUGGAGUCUGCAACUCGACUCCAUGAAGUCGGAAUCGCUAGUAAUCGUGAAUCAGAAUGUCACGGUGAAUACGUUCCCGGGCCUUGUACACACCGCCCGUCACACCAUGGGAGUGGGCCGCUAAAGAAGUGGGUAGUUUAACCAAGUGGGGACGACGCUCACCAUAGAGUU